UUCAUCGGUGACGGUCUGGCGCGAAGGUUGGACACUCUUCUUCUAGCCCCAGGACACCCGUUGUCUCUCACUCUUGGUCACAGAAAUUUGUCAAUAGUUUCAUGUUGAAGGAAUAAAAAAUCCUGAAUGAGAAGUGCCAGUGCUGACCUCAAACCCCAUCCGCUGACCAGCAGUAAAGAUAAAAAUUCCAGUUGCCUCGCACAACCGGGCCUACUGCGACGAGAGAAAUCCUUUGAUAUUUUGUUCGUUGGUGGAGAGGCUCGUUACAUCAUUAACGAGCCAUGAGGACGUGUUCGGAAGCGGAAAUUGAGUUAUUCUCGUGUCGGGCGCAAUAGACAAGUGCGUGGCAGAGUGAAAAUGUCGUCUUUUGGGAUGUUCAGUGCUCAACAUAGUGGAGUUACCUAGAUUCAAUGAGUGUUUGUCCAUCAGUCGUGGAGGGAGAUAAAACGAGAAAUAAAAGAACCAGUACCAGAAACAAUCAAGUGUGCUUGACAUUUUCUUCGGUGAGUUUUUUUAGUUUCUGAGAAACCGAGUAAAGAGUGAGAGCAAGGGAACGUACAAAUGGAUGGAUUUUUUCCACCAGAUAAUGCGGCCAAACGAAAACGGGUGUGAUUUAUUCGAGUCCCCCAUUUAAGAUACAAGCAGCCGUUGCGGACGUGAGUUUGAAGGAGCCCGCUUUUCGUCGUGAGAGUGCAGAAAACUUUUCCUCCGCUUCCUGUCAGUGCUUUUCACCAUCACUGGACGGCCACAUACAAUCUCCCGCUCAUACACCAACUGCGGUAGUCAGCAGAAGCAAGUGCAGCGGAGCUUUGAAAGUGCUUCUCAGUGUAACUGGAAAUUGAUCUUUUUGGCUGAUCGUAUGGCUCUGGAAUAUAUAUGUGGAAUUGCAAAAACAGCAGCCGACCAGCAAAGUGAAUGUUGUCGCAGAGCUUCAUGUUCCAUCCCUGCCGGGACGUUCAACAACAGACGGAGCUUUAAAUAGCACUUGACUAAAUAUUUUGCUAUUCGACUAAAAAAUACAUUUUAUGGUAAGUUAACUGCAAUGAUAAACUAAAAUGGGAUAUGAUUUUUAAUUUAAAAGCUGUAUUCAUCAGAGUCAAACUGGCUGAAACUAUCACUUUACUCCCUUAGAUUAAA